rnacentral:misc_RNA from 1 species
GAUGAAGAACGCAGCGAAAUGCGAUAAGUAGUGUGAAUUGCAGAAUUCAGUGAAUCAUCGAAUCUUUGAACGCACAUUGCGCCCCUUGGUAUUCCGAGGGGCAUGCCUGUUCGAGCGUCAUUAUAACCCCUCAAGCUUAGCUUGGUGUUGGGGCCUGCUGUAAUAGAGCAGCCCUUAAAAUCAGUGGCGGUGCCAUUAGGCUCUAAGCGUAGUAAUUCUUCUCGCUAUAGGGUUCUGGUGGAUGCUUGCCAUUAACCUCUAAUUUUCUAUGGUUGACCUCGGAUCAGGUAGGGAUACCCGCUGAACUUAAGCAUAUCAAUAAGCGGAGGA